CUAUGCGCCUUGCCAGCCCGCUCAGGUGUGCCAGCAGCCGCGGUAAUACGGAGGAUGCGAGCGUUAUCCGGAUUUAUUGGGUUUAAAGGGUGCGUAGGCGGGCUGUUAAGUCAGCGGUCAAAUGUCGGGGCUCAACCCCGGCCUGCCGUUGAAACUGGUGGCCUCGAGUGGGCGAGAAGUAUGCGGAAUGCGUGGUGUAGCGGUGAAAUGCAUAGAUAUCACGCAGAACCCCGAUUGCGAAGGCAGCCUUCCGGCGCCCUACUGACGCUGAGGCACGAAAGUGCGGGGAUCGAACAGG
rnacentral:rRNA from 1 species